CAGGAAACUACCAUUGCUCACAAAAGACACAGAGAUUUGGGCAAGUAAAGGGAGUGAAUCCACUCCAUGGAGUUUGGAAAAGAUCAAAACAGAUUUGGAAACAAGAAGGAGAAGGCAAAGGUAUGGCUAAAGAAUAAAGGAGUUAAUAUCAGAAGUGCAUCUGAAGAGGAAGGUACCAAAUGGGCUCCGGGAGAACAACCUCACUUUACCAGCGCGAAGCCCCACCAGCCCUGCACUCCCCAGCCUGUGGACUGUGGCUCAGCAUCUUCUCAGCCUCUCAGCCCCACCUUAGGGCAGGCAGCUCCAAACACUGGCCUGGAGAAAAACAUGAGCCAAACCUCAACUGAGCACAGUCUACAAAAUACUUGCCCAGUCCUUCUCCAAACCGUCAAGGUCAUGGAAAACAAGGAAAGACAGAAACUAUCACAGCCCAGAGAAGACUGAGGAGGCAUGACAACUGUCCUGUGGUGUCCUGGAUAGGACCCUAGAAUAGAAACAGGAUGUUACAUGAAAAACUAGUGAAAUCCGAGUAAGUGUGGAGCUCAGUUAACAGAAUGCACUAACGGUGGUUUCCUAGUUGUGACAAAUGAAACAUGGUAAUAUGAGACAGCACAAUGGGGGAAACUGGGGAGGAGGGUGAGCGAAUUGGCUACACUAUCUCUGCCACUUUUCUGUACAUCUAAAAUUAUCCUAAAGCAAAGUGUAUAAAACAAUAAAGAAGCAGAGGCCUCUCUCUUUCAAAGCUUCCUGUCUCCUUCAAGAACCUGCUCCAUUAAUUAACCUCUUUCCUGACCGUGCAGGUCUGCCUCUGCCACUUUUUUGAGCUUUGCGAAGACACAGGCAGGUCUCCCUAACCUAAAAAUCCAAACAGAACAAAACCAAAAAUAGAACCCUCUUUUUCUUCAACCUCGCAGCUCCUUCAGGGUGCUCUCUGCUUUCCUUUCACCCCUGAGGGGGCGGCUUAACUACCUCCAAGUUCUCACUGGCUCGUCACCGCCUCUCUCCCAACCCGAAAGGGGCUGCAAGUCUUAAGACUUUUGCUGAAUCCUCAUGUUUUGGGAUCCCGCAGCAGCUGACACCACUGAACCCUGCCUCCUCCUUGUCUGCUCCUUAGACGAAC